UCCCAAUUAGUCCAGAGGUUAGGAUAUCUGGCUUUCAUCUUCUCGGCCUUUCAGGUCGUUGACAACCCAGAAGACCCGGGUUCAAUUCCCGGAUUGGGAA